UACGUAGGGUGCAAGCGUUAAUCGGAAUUACUGGGCGUAAAGCGUGCGCAGGCGGUCGGGCAAGACAGAUGUGAAAUCCCCGGGCUCAACCUGGGAACUGCAUUUGUGACUGCACGGCUGGAGUGCGGCAGAGGGGGAUGGAAUUCCGCGUGUAGCAGUGAAAUGCGUAGAUAUGCGGAGGAACACCGAUGGCGAAGGCAAUCCCCUGGGCCUGCACUGACGCUGAGGCACGAAAGCGUGGGGAGCAAACAGG
rnacentral:rRNA from 1 species